GACGAACGCUGGCGGCGUGCUUAACACAUGCAAGUCGAACGGAAAGGCCCCUUCGGGGGUACUCGAGUGGCGAACAGGUGAGUAACACGUGAGUAACCUGCCCUUGACUUCGGGAUAACUUCAGGAAACUGGGGCUAAUACCGGAUAGGAAUCCUUGCUGCAUGGUGGGGGUUGGAAAGCUUCGGCGGUUUUGGAUGGACUCGCGGCUUAUCAGCUUGUUGGUGGGGUAGUGGCUUACCAAGGCUUUGACGGGUAGCCGGCCUGAGAGGGCGACCGGCCACAUUGGGACUGAGAUACGGCCCAGACUCCUACGGGAGGCAGCAGUGGGGAAUAUUGCACAAUGGGCGGAAGCCUGAUGCAGCAACGCCGCGUGCGGGAUGACGGCCUUCGGGUUGUAAACCGCGUUCAGCAGGGGCGAAGCUUGUGGUGACGGUACCUGCAGAAGAAGCACCGGCUAACUACGUG
rnacentral:rRNA from 1 species